CUUGGGUGGUAUUUUUUUAUGGGCAAACUAAUUAAAGCUACUAAAAAAAAGUACAACCUUGAUAUUUGCUCUAGUAUCUAGAAUGUUUGGUUUGGACAUGUCCCGGCAUCUGAUUUUAAACACCAGGCCCCCCUAUAACAUGACCUCUUAAAUCAUUUUUACAGUUUCUUCCUGAACACUCUAGUCAUGCACCCCAUUUUCUAGUGAUUUUUAACAAAUGAAUUAUUAUGCUCAUAGAUAUUCAGUUCCUGGUAAUCAGAAACUUACAACUCAGCAGACCUCUUGGCAGACCUACAGGGUAUAAGUGUGGACCAAGCCCCCAGUCCCCGUCAGAGGCUGUAUCUUGAAGCAUCUUUGGAAUCUACGUGUGCUGCUUCACAGAGAAAGCUGAUCUAGGCUUUCUCUCUGCUGUUGGCAUCUGAGUUCCCUGAAGAGGGUUUUCUGAGGGCUCUUAAGUCGAUUGCAAAAGAGCCCGGGAUGAAUCUACACCUAAAAGUCUGCUGUAUUCUUCACCUGGCACAGAAUUGAGAGCCAGCUGGAAAGGCAGGUGCGAUCUGACCAGACACUUCUGCUGGACUCCUUUCCAGCACCUGGCAGCUGUGACCCUGGAAGGCAGUGCUGUAGCCACCCAGUCGAGCAGAGGUGAUGUUGUAGGUGGGAUUCCGCUCUUGGUUUACUGGGUGGGGUGGGGGGUGGUGCUGCUUGCUCCCCCUCUAAAAUGCAAUGCAAAAAGGACAUUGUGUAUAUGCAGCAUUUGUUUGGUUGUUUUUCUUUUUUAAUUUUUUUUUUGCAUCUGUUUACUUUGCAGUUGUUAAGUCUGUAUGCAUGAGAGAAAAAUAUAACAACAUGAGUUGGGAGUAAAGUAAUCAGGCAGUAAAGAGAAUGAACAGUAAGAACAAUGGACCUGGUCAACAGAGCUGUGUUGUCAGAAGAGAGACAGUUGUUGGACACCGGGAUGCAUCACGCAGGGAAUGGAGGGAAUGGGCUUCAGUGCAGAAGUGAAGAUUGCCUUCAGCCACAGCUGGCCUCCGUUCUUUAGGGAAGUACAGCCAGCCUUCUUAGUAAGGGUUGUCGCAAUCAGAACUCUGAUUGAAGAU
rnacentral:lncRNA from 1 species